GCUCAACAGCUAGCCCGCCCUAAUAAAAUCAACACCCCCAUAUUAAUACCCCCUAACACACUACAAAUACAUAAACAAAACAUUUUUCCUCCCUAGUACGGGCGACGGAAAAGGGACUAGGAGCAAUAGAGAAAGUACCGCAAGGGAAAGCUGAAAGAGAAAUGAAACAACCCAGUAAAGCUCAAAAAAGCAGAGACACAACCUCG
rnacentral:rRNA from 1 species